GGAUUUAAGGAAGAUAGAUGGUACAAGAUGUUGUCUCCUCCGCAGACGCUUUCUGCUCUGGUCUAGUUUACAACGCAUGAGCCAGAGAAAAUGAGAUGAGGGACGACGGGUGGCUUUGGGGAGACACCCUGCAAGAGGAAAGGCUUGACUUGAGUGUGGAGGUGGAAUUCGAGGAAGCGGCAUAUUCCAGAUGGUGGGAACAGCUUAUGC
rnacentral:lncRNA from 1 species